UAGGGAAUCUUCCACAAUGGGCGCAAGCCUGAUGGAGCAACGCCGCGUGAGUGAAGAAGGUCUUCGGAUCGUAAAACUCUGUUGUUUGAGAAGAACACGAGUGAGAGUAACUGUUCAUUCGAUGACGGUAUCUAACCAGCAAGUCACGGCUAACUACGUGCCAG
rnacentral:rRNA from 1 species